GACGAACGCUGGCGGCGUGCUUAACACAUGCAAGUCGAACGGUAAGGCCCUUCGUGGUACGCGAGUUGCGAACGGGUGAGUAACACGUGGGUAAUCGUCCCCUCACAUCGGGAUAAGGCUGGGUAACUGGGACUAAUACCGAAUCGGACUACAGGCUACAUGUCCAUUGGGGGAAAGCUUUUGCGGUGUGGGAUGGGGCCGCGGCCGAUCAUCUUGUUGGUGGGGUGGUGGCCUUCCAAGGGGACGACGAGUAGCCGGACUGAGAGGGUGUCCGGGCACACUGGGGGUGAGAUACGGCCCAGAAUCCGGCGGGAGGCAGCAGGGGGGAAAGCUGUGGGGAAGGCGGCAGACUGGGGCGGCGACGGAGCGUGGAGGGUGGCGUGCUGCGGGUUGUAAACCUCUUUCACCAUCGACGAAGGUUCGGGUUUUCUCGGACUGACGGUAGGUGGAGAAGAAGCACCGGCCAACUACGUG
rnacentral:rRNA from 1 species